UGGCCGUGUACAUAGGCCUCAUGAACAAGGCGGCCUGGAGCCGAGCUUUGAAGAAGCUUUUAACUAGGUUUCUGAAGAGUCUUGUGAGAGAGGAAAAAGGUCAGAGGCAGCGUCAAUACUGCUUCGACAAGGACGACUCUUUGGAAUGCCAGGGCUAAUGGACCCAAACUGAUGACCUCCUCCAUGAAGUUUUCCUUAUCACCUCAGGAAGUGAACUUCUCUGACCUG